UACGAAGGGGGCUAGCGUUGUUCGGAAUUACUGGGCGUAAAGGGCGCGCAGGCGGUCCUUCAAGUCAGGCGUGAAAGCCCCGGGCUCAACCUGGGAAUAGCGCUUGAGACUGAGGGACUUGAGUUCGGGAGAGGAGAGCGGAAUUCCCAGUGUAGAGGUGAAAUUCGUAGAUAUUGGGAAGAACACCGGUGGCGAAGGCGGCUCUCUGGACCGACACUGACGCUGAGGCGCGAAAAGCGUGGGGAGCAAACAGG
rnacentral:rRNA from 1 species